rnacentral:misc_RNA from 1 species
GAUGAAGAACGCAGCGAAAUGCGAUACGUAAUGUGAAUUGCAGAAUUCAGUGAAUCAUCGAAUCUUUGAACGCACAUUGCGCCCGCCAGCACUCUGGCGGGCAUGCCUGUUCGAGCGUCAUUUCAACCAUCAAGCCCCAGGCUUGCGUUGGAGCCCUGCGGCUGCCGCAGCCUCCUAAAAGCAGUGGCGGGCUCGCUAUCACACCGAGUGCAGUAGAUUACUCUUCGCUCAGGGCGUGCAGCGGGUUCCGGCCGUGAACCCCCCUACUUUUAAAGGUUGACCUCGGAUCAGGUAGGAAUACCCGCUGAACUUAAGCAUAUCAAUAAGCGGAGGA